UACGAAGGGGGCUAGCGUUGCUCGGAAUCACUGGGCGUAAAGCGCACGUAGGCGGAUCGCUAAGUCAGGGGUGAAAUCCUGGAGCUCAACUCCAGAACUGCCUUUGAUACUGGCAAUCUCGAGUCCGGGAGAGGUGAGUGGAACUGCGAGUGUAGAGGUGAAAUUCGUAGAUAUUCGCAAGAACACCAGUGGCGAAGGCGGCUCACUGGCCCGGUACUGACGCUGAGGUGCGAAAGCGUGGGAGCAACAGGG
rnacentral:rRNA from 1 species